UACAGAGGGUGCGAGCGUUGUUCGGAAUUAUUGGGCGUAAAGGGCGCGUAGGCGGCGCCACAAGUCACCUGUGAAAACUCUGGGCUCAACCCAGAGCCUGCAGGCGAAACUGUGGUGCUGGAGUAUGGGAGAGGUGCGUGGAAUUCCCGGUGUAGCGGUGAAAUGCGUAGAUAUCAGGAGGAACACCGGUGGCGAAGGCGGGUCUCUGGGCAGUAACUGACGCUGAGGAGCGAAAGCGUGGGGAGCGAACAGG
rnacentral:rRNA from 1 species